rnacentral:rRNA from 1 species
GUUGUCAUGCCAAUGGCACUGCCCGGUAGCUAAAUGCGGAAGAGAUAAGUGCUGAAAGCAUCUAAGCACGAAACUUGCCCCGAGAUGAGUUCUCCCUGAGACUAUAAGUCUCCUGAAGGAACGUUGAAGACGACGACGUUGAUAGGCCGGGUGUGUAAGCGCAGCGAUGCGUUGAGCUAACCGGUACUAAUGAACCGUGAGGCUUAACCUUACAACGCCGAAG